AAUAUUGGGCAAUGGAGGAGACUCUGACCCAGCCAUGCCGCGUGCAGGAAGACGGCCCUAUGGGUUGUAAACUGCUUUUAUACAGGAAGAAACACUGGUAUGUAUACCAGCUUGACGGUACUGUAAGAAUAAGGACCGGCUAACUCCGUGCCAGCAGCCGCGGUAAUACGGAAGGUCCGAGCGUUAUCCGGAAUCAUUGGGUUUAAAGGGUACCGCAGCGGUCAAUUAAGUCAGAGGUGAAAUCCCGUCGCUCAACGACGGAACUGCCUUUGAUACUGGUUGACUUGAGUCAUAUGGAAGUAGAUAGAAUGUGUAGUGUAGCGGUGAAAUGCAUAGAUAUUACACAGAAUACCGAUUGCGAAGGCAGUCUACUACGUAUGUACUGACGCUCAUGGACGAAAGCGUGGGGAGCGAACASGAUUAGAUACCCUGGUAGUCCACGCCGUAAACGAUGGAUACUAGUUGUUGGGCAUUARCUCAGUGACUAAGCGAAAGUGAUAAGUAUCCCACCUGGGGAGUACGGUCGCAAGACU
rnacentral:rRNA from 1 species